GACGAACGCUGGCGGCGUGCCUAAUACAUGCAAGUAGAACGCUGAAGGAGGAGCUUGCUUCUCUGGAUGAGUUGCGAACGGGUGAGUAACGCGUAGAUAACCUGCCUGGUAGCGGGGGAUAACUAUUGGAAACGAUAGCUAAUACCGCAUAAUAGUAGAUGUUGCAUGACAUUUGCUUAAAAGCAGCAAUUGCAUCACUACCAGAUGGACCUGCGUUGUAUUAGCUGGUUUGUGGGGUAACGGCUCACCAAGGCGACGAUACAUAGCCGACCUGAGAGGGUGAUCGGCCCCACUGGGAAUGAGACACGGCCCAAACUCCUUCGGGAGGCAGCAGUAGGGGAUCUUCGGCAAUGGGCGGAAGUCUGACCGAGCAACGCCGCGGGGGUGAAGAAGGUUUUCGGAUCGUAAAGCUCUGUUGUAAGAGAAGAACGGGUGUGAGAGUGGAAAGUUCACACUGUGACGGUAUCUUACCAGAAAGGGCCGGCUAACUACGUG
rnacentral:rRNA from 1 species